CUUAAGCAUAUCAAUAAGCGGAGGAAAAGAAACCAACAGGGAUUGCCUUAGUAACGGCGAGUGAAGCGGCAACAGCUCAAAUUUGAAAUCUGACUUAGGUCUGAGUUGUAAUUUGUAGAGGGAAUUUGGAGAGUGACGUAAGCUUAAGUCCCUUGGAACAGGGCGUCAUAGAGGGUGAGAAUCCCGUAUGUGGCUCAACAUCACUUUCAUGUCAAAUCCCUUCGACGAGUCGAGUUGUUUGGGAAUGCAGCUCAAAGUGGGUGGUAAAUUUCAUCUAAAGCUAAAUAUUGGCCAGAGACCGAUAGCGCACAAGUAGAGUGAUCGAAAGAUGAAAAGUACUUUGGAAAGAGAGUUAAACAGUACGUGAAAUUGUUGAAAGGGAAGCGCUUGCCAUCAGACCGAUUUACAGUAUGCAGUUUGGAGGUAACUUUGAACGUAAAGCAGCUGUUAACCGGCCAGCAUCAGUUUAAAUGGUUUGAUAAAUAUCAUGAGAAUGUGACUCUUCGGAGUGUUAUAGCUUGUGAUAUAAUAAAGCCUAUUUGGACUGAGGAUCGCGCUUCGGCUAUGAUGCUGGCGUAAUGAUGGCAAGUGACCCGUCUUGAAACACGGACCAAGGAGUCAAUCAUUUGUGCAAGUGUUUGGGCGUUAAACCCACACGCGAAAUGAAAGUGAAUGGAGGUCAGAACCCUAGGGUGCAUGAUCGUCUGAAGCCGAAGUUUACGGAGGCUCUUAAGAAGGAGCACAAUCGAUUGGACCCGAAAGAUGGUGAACUAUGCGUGAAUAGGGUGAAGCCAGAGGAAACUCUGGUGGAGGCUCGCAGCGGUUCUGACGUGCAAAUCGAUCGUCAAAUUUGCGCAUAGGGGCGAAAGACCAAUCGAACUAUCUAGUAGCUGGUUCCUGC
rnacentral:rRNA from 1 species